AAAAGAAAUUCAAGAAAUGAAGAAAAUCAAGCAACAAAGAGGAUUGAGCAAAAGGAAAUCAUGAAGAAAAGAUGAACUUCUAAUGAUCCUCAACGCGAAAAAUACAACAAGAAAAUCGGAGUCAUGAAUGCUCCAAUUGCCAAACCAAAAGGGAGCAAGAAGAUGAAAGAUUGGGAGACUUAAACCGCACCAACAUUUAGUUGAGUUUUAAAUCCAAAACGAAGAAUUGGUAUGUAGUAGUUAAAAAUAUUUUACUCAGUUAUGUCCCGAGUUCUCUAAAUCGCACGAAAAAAUAUUGCUUUGUGACUACCAUAAACUCGUGGCCUAAGGACAUCGGUCUUUUGUAUCGCAUCAAUUAUUGAUCAAUCAAUAUUGUCUACUA